rnacentral:rRNA from 1 species
CAGGCUUAACACAUGCAAGUCGAGGGGCAGCAUUUUAGUUUGCUUGCAAACUAAAGAUGGCGACCGGCGCACGGGUGAGUAACACGUAUCCAACCUGCCGAUAACUCGGGGAUAGCCUUUCGAAAGAAAGAUUAAUAUCCGAUAGUAUAUUAAAACCGCAUGGUUUUACUAUUAAAGAAUUUCGGUUAUCGAUGGGGAUGCGUUCCAUUAGUUUGUUGGCGGGGUAACGGCCCACCAAGACUACGAUGGAUAGGGGUUCUGAGAGGAAGGUCCCCCACAUUGGAACUGAGACACGGUCCAAACUCCUACGGGAGGCAGCAGUGAGGAAUAUUGGUCAAUGGACGAGAGUCUGAACCAGCCAAGUAGCGUGAAGGAUGACUGCCCUAUGGGUUGUAAACUUCUUUUAUAUGGGAAUAAAGUAUUCCACGUGUGGGAUUUUGUAUGUACCAUAUGAAUAAGGAUCGGCUAACUCCGUGCCAGCAGCCGCGGUAAUACGGAGGAUCCGAGCGUUAUCCGGAUUUAUUGGGUUUAAAGGGAGCGUAGGUGGAUUGUUAAGUCAGUUGUGAAAGUUUGCGGCUCAACCGUAAAAUUGCAGUUGAAACUGGCAGUCUUGAGUACAGUAGAGGUGGGCGGAAUUCGUGGUGUAGCGGUGAAAUGCUUAGAUAUCACGAAGAACUCCGAUUGCGAAGGCAGCUCACUAGACUGCAACUGACACUGAUGCUCGAAAGUGUGGGUAUCAAACAGGAUUAGAUACCCUGGUAGUCCACACAGUAAACGAUGAAUACUCGCUGUUUGCGAUAUACAGUAAGCGGCCAAGCGAAAGCAUUAAGUAUUCCACCUGGGGAGUACGCCGGCAACGGUGAAACUCAAAGGAAUUGACGGGGGCCCGCACAAGCGGAGGAACAUGUGGUUUAAUUCGAUGAUACGCGAGGAACCUUACCCGGGCUUAAAUUGCAUUUGAAUAAUCUGGAAACAGGUUAGCCGCAAGGCAAAUGUGAAGGUGCUGCAUGGUUGUCGUCAGCUCGUGCCGUGAGGUGUCGGCUUAAGUGCCAUAACGAGCGCAACCCUUAUCUUUAGUUACUAACAGGUCAUGCUGAGGACUCUAGAGAGACUGCCGUCGUAAGAUGUGAGGAAGGUGGGGAUGACGUCAAAUCAGCACGGCCCUUACGUCCGGGGCUACACACGUGUUACAAUGGGGGGUACAGAAGGCAGCUACCUGGCGACAGGAUGCUAAUCCCAAAAACCUCUCUCAGUUCGGAUCGAAGUCUGCAACCCGACUUCGUGAAGCUGGAUUCGCUAGUAAUCGCGCAUCAGCCAUGGCGCGGUGAAUACGUUCCCGGGCCUUGUACACACCGCCCGUCAAGCCAUGAAAGCCGGGGGUACCUGAAGUACGUAACCGCAAGGAGCGUCCUAGGGUAAAACUGGUAAUUGGGGCUAAGUC